CUGAUGUACAUUAACUAUACAUUUUAAUUAAUAAUGUAGUAAUCCAUUUUGAACAUAAUAUUAACUAAGAUCCAUAAAUGCUAUAUAAAUCAUGUACUUGUUAACUUAUAUAAUGUUAAAAACUAAAUCCUUAUUGAAAAGUGUUACAAUAAUAAUAAUAAUAAUAAUAAUAAUUUCUUUGUGUGUGUGUGUGUGUGUGUGUAAGUGAGUGUGUGAGAAAGACAGAGAGAGAGACUCACAUUAAUAAAUGCCAUACAGUUGUUGUUAAUGUAAUUUUAAUAUAAUUCAUGUUAAUAACUGAAACCUUAUUGGAAGUGUUACUCAAGUUUUAUAUAUUGUGUUGUGUGUGUGUCUUGAUGGUUUGGAUUAACCCUUUAAUUGCCGAAUCCUUUAAAACCAGACUGCCAGAGAGUUACUGUAAAUGCAUGUGCCCGGUGGGCACAGUUUUCCCGAUGCCACAGGGGUGGCGUUUGCACUGAUGGCUUGAGCCCGCCAUCGCUGCUUGCAGCUAUAUUUAGGGCUCAAGCCUGGAGGGCGAAGAGCCCUAUUGUUUUCCUUAGGAUUAUUAUUAUUCUUUAUUCUUCUAAUUUUUUUCCAAGGUUUCGGGGGCUUUUGGGGCCCUUAACAUGCUCAAAAACUCUUGAAAAUUGGCACACACCUUGGAAUCUGCGGCCAUUAGGGCCGGGCAGAGACUGAUACACAGGCGUGGCACAGGGGCUCUACAGCGCCCCCUGGAAUAUUGAGGGCCAUAUAUCAUGCAUACUUGCACGUAUACAUAUGAAACUGGGUACACAUGUAGAUCUCAUCAAACCAAACAACUUUCGCACUGCAUGUCAUAAGCUCCGCCCAACAGGAAGUUGGCUAUUUAGGGUUUUGUGAAAAACACAUGCUCUGGAAUUUGAUAUACUCCUCUGAGGAACUCCACCCGUUUGCCACAAAACUCGGUGAACAUGAUCUCAAGACAUUGGGGAUGCUAAAUUGCGAAGAUAUUUUUGAUAUCUCGAACGGUUUGUCCGUGGCGAGGCGUUGAAAUUAUGGCGAGAAAUGAGAAACAGGAAAUGUCUAAUAACAUCAACAUACACUACCUGAGUUUGAUCAAACUUCAUUGGUUUGUUCGAUGUAUGAUUCCGAUCGCAUAUAUGUGACUAUUAGGAGUCAAAGUUACAGCGCCACCAACUGGCAGCAGGAAGCGUGUCAUUUUCAAAAUGCUUUGAAUUCAGCAUCUUAUUUUUACUUGAUUUGCUUCAAACUUCAUCAGAAUAAUGACAAAACACGGCCGAUGUAAAUCUGUUGUGGGGAUAUUGAUAUCUAAUAUAGUGUUGCCAUGGCAACGUGUCAAACUUGAAUAUUCUGUUCUGGUGAUUUUGAGGCAGAUAACAUGCUCAGAAUUACAUAAAACUCAGAACACAUAUCAGUAUUAAUGAUAGCUAGAAAAUGGCAAAAGCUCACGAAAGGGCGUGGAGGAGCCACUCUAUAGCGCCACCUUUUGUCAAAAGUGAGGGGGUUAGUUUUAGCUACAGACACCAAACUCAGUACAUAAAUUGUUCUUAUCAAGACGGACAACUUUCUAAUUCACAGUCAUCAGCUACGAUGAACAGGAAGUAAGUUAUAUUGAUUUGAAUAUGGAUUUUUGGAAAAAUAUAGCUGUGAAUUAAUGCAUACUGCUCAGAGGAGAAUUACAGUAUACACACCAAACUUUGUCUACAUGAUGCCAAAACAUUGAGGAACUUAAAUUGCGAAUGGAUUUUUGGAUAGCUUGAACGGUUUUUGCCGUAGUGAUUUAUUGAAAUAACAGUAAAAAAGUAAACAUAAAUUGUCUUAUAUUUCUUAAAGUGCAGCUUCCAAACACUUCAAAAUUUUUAUAUAUAGAGGAUAAGUCAUUCUGAGCAAAUAUGCAUAGUUUCACGACUUUUCAAUGCUCUAUGGAUUACAGAAAAUUAAAAAACUGUCAGUCAUCUUAUCUCACUCUGAGGCCACUCUCUCUGUGUGAGAAAAAGGAGGGGGCUGAGUCACUCUGAUGACUCUGCCAUUGCCCUGUGAAGAAUGUGUGUGCGCUGAGUGUAUGUGUUAAUCGUUUUUGAUGUUACAAAGGUUAUUUAGUCAGAAGCAGUGAGCACUUGUAUUUUUCUUUGACAGCAUUAGAUUUAUUAUUAUGCUUUCACUUUAAGAACCAAUCACGGGUUUAAUAUACACAUGCCUUUUAUUUCUGAACUGUUAACGUUAAGACACGUUUGGUGACAAUAAAGUGACUUGACUUGACUUGACUUGACAUAUGCCUAACCGACUGUGUUUACUAGGAUAUUGCCCAAAACGCGCAUUUAGAUGUAAUUAUGUAUUUAUUGAUCCAUGCACAAAAAAAGCGGAAGAUAGCUCAGUUUAGUAUUCGCGCAUGCGGCUGUCUGUGUGCAUGCACGCGCUUCAGAUGUGUGCAGUGAAAACUUCUCACACAGCGCUCGACUGUUCCGCGAACAAUCCCGAGCAUUUUAUAUGCUCACCUUGUGCCUUAUACCGAGUCCUAAUCGGUGAGUUUGAACGAGAAUGCAGCCGUUGACGGACAUUAUGUGAAAAUGUAGACAGUGCCAAAUAAGCUGCCUAUUUAUAUAACAGAUAUCUAUAUUCUACGUGUGCUAUCGAUGCAUCGAUCCAUAUCGAUGAAUCAAUACACCCCUAAUAUAUCAAACGUAAAUAACUGCAUAGACAUCACUGUUUAAAACUAAAUAUAGAUUAAUUGUUUUUGAUGUUACAAAGGUUAUUUAGGUGGGUUUUUUUAGGUGCUAUCGAUGCAUCGAUCCAUAUCGAUGAAUCAGUACACCCCUAUAGGCUAUAUAUGUGUGUGUGUGUGUGUGUGUAAAAUAUAUAUAUAUAUAUAUAUAUAUAUAUAUAUAUAUAUAUAAUAUAUAUAUAUACAUUUCAAUACUGUCAUAGGUCAGUAUUUAAAUGAGUUUGAAAUUAUUAUUAUUAUUAUUAUUAUAAACCUAUGCAAUUAUAUAUAUAUAUAUAUAUAUAUAUAUAUAUAUAUAUAUAUAUAUAUAUAUAUAUAUAUAUAUAUAUAUAAUUGCAUAGGUUUAUAAUAAUAAUAAUAAUAAUAAUUUCAAACUCAUUUAAAUACUGACCUAUGACAUCCUGUGACAUGACAUUUAUCUGAAUUUACACAACUCAUGAUGUAACAGUAAAACAGAUAAGCUCACAGAUGAAGACCAAGCUGUAAUGCCGGCAAAAAUAUUUCACAAAUGCUUAUAGAUCAAUAAAAUCAUUAAAAAUUCUUUGCACGGCGUGCAUCAUUAUUAGGCACUUGAUAUUCAGAUGAUAUUUUCCAAGCACAUGUAUAUAUAUAUAUGCCCUUUUGGAAAAAUGGCUCUUAACCAAAAAUAAAAAUUUUGCCCUUUGGUCAAAAAAGGUUCCUGACCCCUGUUCCAGAAUCUGGCAGUAAGUUUGGGGAGCUCAUUUUUAUUGCAUCUUCUAUUCU
ensembl:lncRNA